UACGUAGGGUGCGAGCGUUAAUCGGAAUUACUGGGCGUAAAGCGUGCGCAGGCGGUCUGUUAAGACCGAUGUGAAAUCCCCGGGCUUAACCUGGGAACUGCAUUGGUGACUGGCAGGCUUUGAGUGUGGCAGAGGGAGGUAGAAUUCCACGUGUAGCAGUGAAAUGCGUAGAGAUGUGGAGGAAUGCCGAUGGCGAAGGCAGCCUCCUGGGCCAACACUGACGCUCAUGCACGAAAGCGUGGGGAGCAAACAGG
rnacentral:rRNA from 1 species